GCUCCAGGAGCCUCAGCAACAUUAUGAAUGAAAUCACCUCAACUUCCUCAACGCUUCAAUUAAAGACCCAACAUGCUAAAUCAGGUGAAGUCAACUACAAGAUCUUGUCCAAAGGUUAAAACCUUCAAGACCUGUCUGCAAAAUUUCGUUUGUCGCCCGAGCGAACUCGAAGGCGGUGGUGAGGCAUGUUUUUGAGGUUGAUUUGCAAUGCUAGCAAUUAAAUUUGUUGUUUUUAGGACAGGAA